GUGGGUAUAGCUCAGUGGUAGAGCUCUUGCCUAGCAUGAUGAGGCCCUAGGUUCAAUCCCUAGAAACACACA
rnacentral:tRNA from 1 species